rnacentral:piRNA from 1 species
UACUUGUAUGUGUUUCAAAGCCAGUGGA